CGGAGGAAAAGAAACCAACAGGGAUGCCUCACCAACGGCGAGUGAGCGGCAAAAGCUCAAAUUUGAAAUCCCCCGGGAAUUGUAAUUUGAAGAGAUUUGGGUCCGGCCGGCAGGGGUUAAGUCCACUGGAAAGUGGCGCCACAGAGGGUGACAGCCCCGUGAACCCCUUUAACGCCUUCAUCCCAGAUCUCCAAGAGUCGAGUUGUUUGGGAAUGCAGCUCUAAGUGGGUGGUAAAUUCCAUCUAAAGCUAAAUACCGGCGAGAGACCGAUAGCGAACAAGUACAGUGAUGGAAAGAUGAAAAGCACUUUGAAAAGAGAGUGAAAAAGUACGUGAAAUUGUUGAAAGGGAAGGGCUUGCAAGCAGACACUUAACUGGGCCAGCAUCGGGGCGGCGGGAAACAAAACCACCGGGGAAUGUACCUUUCGAGGAUUAUAACCCCGGUCUUUAUUUCCUUGUUGCCCCGAGGCCUGCAAUCUAAGGAUGCUGGCGUAAUGGUUGCAAGUCGCCCGUCUA
rnacentral:rRNA from 2 species